rnacentral:lncRNA from 1 species
CUAAUUAGACCCUAGAACAUGUUUGGGAGUGUUUUUGAGCAUUCGGUUCCGGCACGAAAAACGAUGCAAAACGGGUGCAUUUCGGCACCCGAAUGCACUAUUGCCGGGUAGCGAAACUCGGGUGGAUUUUUUCGCAACGAACGCAUGCAAUCUACCUAAUUAGACCCUAGAACAUGUUUGGGAGUGUUUUUGGGCAUUCGGUUCCGGCACGAAAAAUGAUGCAAAACGGGUGCAUUUCGGCACCCGAAUGCACUAUUGCCGGGUAGCGAAACUCGGGUGGAUUUUUUCACAACGAACGCAUGCAAUCUUCCUAAAUAUACCCUAGAACAUGUUUGGGAGUGUUUUUGGGCAUUCGGUUCCGGCACGAAAAAUGAUGCAAAACGGGUGCAUUUCGGCACCCGAAUGCACUAUUGCCGGGUAGCGAAACUCGGGUGGAUUUUUUCGCAACGAACGCAUGCAAUCUUCCUAAAUAUACACUAGAACAUGUUUGGGAGUAUUUUUGGGCAUUCGGUUCCGGCACGAAAAAUGAUGCAAAACGGGUGCAUUUCGGCACUCGAAUGCACUAUUGCCGGGUAGCGAAACUCGGGUGGAUUUUUUUCGCAACGAACGCAUCCAAUCUACCUAAUUAGACCCUAGAACAUGUUUGGGAGUGUUUUUGGGCAUUCGGUUUCGGCACGAAAAACGAUGCAAAACGGGUGCAUUUCGGCACCCGAAUGCACUAUUGCCGGGUAGCGAAACUCGGGUGGAUUUUUUCGCAACGAACGCAUGCAAUUUUCCGAAAUAUACACUAGAACAUGUUUGGGAGUGUUUUUGGGCAUUCGGUUCCGGCACGAAAAAUGAUGCAAAACGGGUGCAUUUCAGCACCCGAAUGCACUAUUGCCGGGUAGCGAAACUCGGGUGGAUUUUUUCGCAACGAACGCAUGCAAUCUUCCUAACUAUACACUAGAACAUGUUUGGGAGUGUUUUUGAGCAUUCGGUUCCGGCACGAAAAACGAUGCAAAACGGGUGCAUUUCGGCACCCGAAUGCACUAUUUCCGGGUAGCGAAACUCGGGUGGAUUUUUUCGCAACGAACGCAUGCAAUCUUCCUAACUAUACACUAGAACAUGUUUGGGACUGUUUUUGAGCAUUCGGUUCCGGCACGAAAAACGAUGCAAAACGGGUGCAUUUCGGCACCCGAAAGCACUAUUUCCGGGUAGCGAAACUCGGGUGGAUUUUUUCGCAACGAACGCAUGCAAUCUUCCUAACUAUACACUAAAACAUGUUUGGGACUGUUUUUGAGCAUUCGGUUCCGGCACGAAAAACGAUGCAAAACGGGUGCAUUUCGGCACGCGAAUGCACUAUUUCCGGGUAGCGAAACUCGGGUGGAUUUUUUCGCAACGAACGCAUGCAAUCUUCCUAACUAUACACUAGAACAUGUUUGGGAGUGUUUUUGAGCAUUCGGUUCCGGCACGAAAAACGAUGCAAAACGGGUGCAUUUCGGCACCCGAAUGCACUAUUUCCGGGUAGCGAAACUCGGGUGGAUUUUUUCGCAACGAACGCAUGCAAUCUUCCUAACUAUACACUAGAACAUGUUUGGGACUGUUUUUGAGCAUUCGGUUCCGGCACGAAAAACGAUGCAAAACGGGUGCAUUUCGGCACAAGAAAGCACUAUUUCCGGGUAGCGAAACUCGGGUGGAUUUUUUCGCAACGAACGCAUGCAUUCUUCCUAAAUAUACACUAGAACAUGUUUGGGAGUGUUUUUGGGCAUUCUGUUCCGGCACGAAAAAUGAUGCAAAACGGGUGCAUUUCGGCACCCGAAUGCACUAUUGCCGGGUAGCGAAACUCGGGUGGAUUUUUUCACAACGAAUGCAUGCAAUCUUUACUAAAUAUACCCUAGAACAUGUUUGGGAGUGUUUUUGGGCAUUCGGUUCCGGCACGAAAAAUGAUGCAAAACGGGUGCAUUUCGGCACCCGAAUACACUAUUGCCGGGUAGCGAAACUCGGGUGGAUUUUUUCGCAACGAACGCAUGCAAUCUUUCGAAAUAUACACUAGAACAUGUUUGGGAGUAUUUUUGGGCAUUCGGUUCCGGCACGAAAAAUGAUGCAAAACGGGUGCAUUUCGGCACCCGAAUGCACUAUUGCCGGGUAGCGAAACUCGGGUGGAUUUUUUUCGCAACGAACGCAUCCAAUCUACCUAAUUAGACCCUAGAACAUGUUUGGGAGUGUUUUUGGGCAUUCGGUUCCGGCACGAAAAACGAUGCAAAACGGGUGCAUUUCGGCACCCGAAUGCACUAUUGCCGGGUAGCGAAACUCGGGUGGAUUUUUUCGCAACGAACGCAUGCAAUUUUCCGAAAUAUACACUAGAACAUGUUUGGGAGUGUUUUUGGGCAUUCGGUUCCGGCACGAAAAAUGAUGCAAAACGGGUGCAUUUCAGCACCCGAAUGCACUAUUGCCGGGUAGCGAAACUCGGGUGGAUUUUUUCGCAACGAACGCAUGCAAUCUUCCUAACUAUACACUAGAACAUGUUUGGGAGUGUUUUUGAGCAUUCGGUUCCGGCACGAAAAACGAUGCAAAACGGGUGCAUUUCGGCACCCGAAUGCACUAUUUCCGGGUAGCGAAACUCGGGUGGAUUUUUUCGCAACGAACGCAUGCAAUCUUCCUAACUAUACACUAGAACAUGUUUGGGACUGUUUUUGAGCAUUCGGUUCCGGCACGAAAAACGAUGCAAAACGGGUGCAUUUCGGCACCCGAAAGCACUAUUUCCGGGUAGCGAAACUCGGGUGGAUUUUUUCGCAACGAACGCAUGCAAUCUUCCUAACUAUACACUAAAACAUGUUUGGGACUGUUUUUGAGCAUUCGGUUCCGGCACGAAAAACGAUGCAAAACGGGUGCAUUUCGGCACGCGAAUGCACUAUUUCCGGGUAGCGAAACUCGGGUGGAUUUUUUCGCAACGAACGCAUGCAAUCUUCCUAACUAUACACUAGAACAUGUUUGGGAGUGUUUUUGAGCAUUCGGUUCCGGCACGAAAAACGAUGCAAAACGGGUGCAUUUCGGCACCCGAAUG